AUUGAACGCUGGCGGCAGGCCUAACACAUGCAAGUCGAGCGGAUCGGCGGACGGGUGAGUGAUGCCUAUGAAUCUGCCUGGGCGUGGGGGAUAACGUCCGGUAACGGACGCGAUUAUCGCAUACUAGCAGUUGAGCCUGGGUCGGAUUAGCUAGUUGGUGGGGUAAAGGCCUACCAAGGCGACGAUCCGUAACUGGUCUGAGAGGAUGAUCAGCCACACUGGAACUGAGACACGGCCCAGACUCCUACGGGAGGCAGCAGUGGGGAAUAUUGGACAAUGGGCGAAAGCCUGAUCCAGCCAUGCCGCGUGUGUGAAGAAGGCCUUCGGAUUGUAAAGUACUUUAAGUUGGGAGGCGUUACCAACAGAAUAAGCACCGGCUAACUUCGUGCCAGCAGCCGCGGUAAUAC
rnacentral:rRNA from 1 species